rnacentral:rRNA from 1 species
CCUACGGGGGGCUGCAGUGAGGAAUAUUGGUCAAUGGACGAGAGUCUGAACCAGCCAAGUAGCGUGAAGGAUGACUGCCCUAUGGGUUGUAAACUUCUUUUAUAUGGGAAUAAAACGUUCCACGUGUGGGAUUUUGUAUGUACCAUAUGAAUAAGGAUCGGCUAACUCCGUGCCAGCAGCCGCGGUAAUACGGAGGAUCCGAGCGUUAUCCGGAUUUAUUGGGUUUAAAGGGAGCGUAGGUGGAGUGUUAAGUCAGUUGUGAAAGUUUGCGGAUCAACCGUAAAAUUGCAGUUGAAACUGGCAGUCUUGAGGACAGUAGAGGUGGGCGGAAUUCGUGGUGUAGCGGUGAAAUGCUUAGAUAUCACGAAGAACUCCGAUUGCGAAGGCAGUUCACUGGACUGCAACUGACACUGAGGCUCGAAAGUGUGGGUAUCAAACAGGAUUAGAUACCCGAGUAGUC